UUAACUCACCAAAGACAGAGAAGAUCGUGAAGAACGCAACAAUUUGUUGUCUGUUGAUUAUUCAGCGCGGAAUUGUCAGACCGGAAGUCGUCUUCUCUCACUUGUAAACCAAACAUUGAUAAAACAAGAUAAUGCCAUUAUCAAUGUUACAGCUUGUGAAAUCUGAAUUCAUUCUUUGUGGACAUAUUUAGAGAAAAGCAGUAGAAGAGAGAUUGCCAGGCCUCGUCUGGCCUUUGUUAAAAUCCUCAAAUAACAAAGGAGUAAAGAAAACUUGAUCAAAAUGUU